rnacentral:rRNA from 1 species
AGAAUCAACGCUGGCGGCGUGCCUAACACAUGCAAGUCGAACGCGACUGGGGACUUCGGUUCCCGGUUGAGUGGCGAACGGGUGAGUAACACGUGGGUGAUCUACCUUCGAGUGGGGGAUAACGUUCCGAAAGGAACGCUAAUACCGCAUGACGUUCUGGGUUUGAAGACCUGGAAACCAAAGCCGGGGACCGCAAGGCCUGGCGCUUGGAGAGGAGCCCGCGUCCGAUUAGCUAGUUGGCGGGUAACGCCCACCAAGGCGACGAUCGGUA